AGGUGCGGUCUGCAGAUCGUUGGAGGAGAUAACGUGUCCAAUUAGGAUCCUGUUCAGGCUUCAAGGACGACUUAGAAAGUCACCCUCACGCACAGCUGUCAAGAACUUGUAGAUGGGGGCUGGAGAGAAGGCUCGGCAGUUAAGACCACUUACUGCUCUUGCAGUUGACCUGGAUUCUGUUCCCUGCGCCCACAGGGAACCUCAAACUGCGUUUUAACUCUACAUCUGGGGGAUCUGAUGCCCUCUUCUGGCUUCUGCAGGCACUGCGCGCACGAGAUGUGAGCUCUCAGAUUUCUGUUCCCACUGCCAUGCCUUCUCUUUGCCAACAUGGACUCUUACCCUCUGGAGAGAUAAGCCAAAAUAAAUGAUGGAUUCCACAAGCUGA